rnacentral:rRNA from 1 species
AAUCAACGCUGGCGGCGUGCCUAACACAUGCAAGUCGAACGCGAAAGCCCCGCAAGGGGUAAGUAGAGUGGCAAACGGGUGAGUAACACGUGGGUGACCUGCCUUCGAGUGGGGGAUAACGUCCCGAAAGGGACGCUAAUACCGCAUGACAUCCUGCUUUUGAAAAAGCGGAGAUCAAAGCUGGGGAUCGCAAGACCUAGCGCUUGAAGAGGGGCCCGCGCCUGAUUAGCUAGUUGGUGAGGUAACGGCUCACCAAGGCGACGAUCAGUAUCCGGCCUGAGAGGGCGGACGGACACACUGGGACUGAGACACGGCCCAGACUCCUACGGGAGGCAGCAGUGGGGAGUUGUUCGCAAUGGGCGCAAGCCUGACGACGCAACGCCGCGUGGAGGACGAAGAUCUUCGGGUCGUAAACUCCUGUCGAGCGGGACGAACGCUUCGCGGAUGAAUAAUCCGCGGAAUUGACGGUACCGCUAAAGGAAGCCCCGGCUAACUCCGUG